CGUGCCUGCCCGAGGCCCCGCCCAGUCCUGGGGCCCCGGGGCUACCUCCAAGUUCCCAAAGAAGCAGUUUUUCAAGUUACAAUCACCUCUGCAGCCAGUGUUUUCAGUCCUAAGGAACAACUGCCUUGCCAAGGUAGUUGGAAGGGGUAAAGGAGGAGACAGAUUCCAGCCUCUGCUACACACUGUCCCAGAACAAAAUCUAACACCUGAGAUGGCAUCCAGGACAUCAUGGUUUCUUUCUUCCCUAAUGCCAGCUGAUUCUGGACAAAGGAACCAAAAGAGUAUGUUGGAGAGAAGACAGCCUCUUUAACAAACAGUGCUGGAAAAACUAGAUGAUUGAAACUAUAUCCCUAUCUCUCACCUGGUAAAAAAAUCAAUUAGAAAUGAAUAAAAAAUCUAGGCGUAAGACCUGAAACUUUGAAAGUGCUAAAUGAAAACACAAGAGAAACCCUUCAAGCCAUAGCCACAGCAAAGACUUCCUGAAGAGGACUUCAACAGCACAGAAAAUAAUAGAUAAAAUCAAGAAACGCACUACACCAAAUUAAAAAGUUUCUACACAGCAAGGAAAAACAACGGAGAGUGAAGAGACAGCCUAUGUAUGAGAGAAAAUCUUUACCAACUACACUUCCAAGAGAGGAUCAAUACGUAGAACAUAUAAAGAACUCAAAAACAACACCAAAAAAAUCAAAUAGUACAUUGAUAAACAGGCAAAUGAACUGAUCAGACACUUCUCAAAAGAAGUUCAAACAGCCAGCAAGUAUAUGAAAAAAUGUUCAACAUUUUUAGUUAUUAAGGAUGUGCGAAUCAAAACUACAUUGAAGUUGGGUGUGGUGGCACACACCUGCAAUCCCAGCACUCCGGAGCUGAACCAGGACUGCCUUGAG